rnacentral:lncRNA from 1 species
UUGCAAAGUGACCUGCAUUUUCUUGCAAAAGAUGUAUUAAUGGUAUCUUAACUUUUACGAAUGAGUUCUCAAGGGAAUAGCCAGGAACUGUAGACUACUGCCAGCCUGUUCUUGGAACAUUAGAGUGCAAUUGUUAAUUUAAGAUUAAUUAUCCAGCUUGGCAGGUGAAUGUUCUUGUUAUUCCUUGUAGUUGAUGCAGGCUUUUUUUUUUAUGUGAGUGUAUAUGUUUUGGGGCUAUUAUAGCAGUAGCUGUGUAUAGUAGAAUUGGUAGAGCAGUAGCUAAAUUCUGUAAAUGAAGUUUGCACCUGAUCAUCAGAAAUACAGGUAAGGGGUUUAUUUGUGUUGCUGUUGUUAAAACAAAUGGAGCAAUGAUUUUGUAAUAUUUUCUGUGACCUUCUUUUGUGAACUUUCCUUUUCCGUUCUCCACAUUACGUCUUGGGCUUGUUAGCCCACCUUUGAGUAGGGAGGUGAGGAAUGCUCAUGGCAACAAUAUAAUGAAGUUUCCGGUGGUGCAGUGAAAUUCAAAGCUGUGAGCCCAUCUUAUAAAGACAUCCUUGCAUGAAGAUUUCAGUGAGGCUAGUGAGGUAACAUACAUUCAUGUAGCCAGUGAGUGUCAGUAUUGAGCCUAGAUGUGAGUAUUUACAAGCCAAGCUGCACAGGCAGUUUAUACUGUAGACAAUGUUAUAAUGAUCUGCAGACAGGUGUAUGAAAAUGGGAAAGAUCCCAUCAUUCAUUAGCCACCUCCCUUCUUAAUAUGACCAAUCAAGUUACUACAGUGCAUGCAGCAUGAGACUUUCUCUGGUACAUUUUUUUGAUGCAUGUGUAAGGUACUUAAGGUUUUACAGGAGUAGAUAUUCUAAGUUAAGGCUAGAGAGUCCUUGCAAGAAUGUAACAGAUUUCUUUCUGGUUGUAAGUGAAAAUGAGCAAACCAAACUCAAGUUAGCCAUCUCAAUUUUGUUAGAAAUCCAGUAAAUUGAUAGAAUAGCUUUUUUCAUGCAAUUUCAGAAUAUCCUGAGUUUGGUGGAUGCUCAAGGAUCAUUGAUCCCAACUCCUCGCUCCACACACCACUACCCAAAAUCCAAACCCCGUGUCUGAGAGUGUUGUCCAAAUGCUUCUUGAACUCUGGCAUCCUGGGGCCGUGACCACCACCUGUUCCAGGGCCGGAACAGCGCCUUAACCAAGUGUUUGUUCUAAUAAGCUGGAGAACAAAUGCACAGAGCUUUGCAUGUAGGAUGGAUUUACUUUUUUAUUUCAUGUAGUCACAGAAUUGUUUAGGUUGGAAGAGACCUCUAGAGAUAAUGUAGUCCACCCCCCACUGUUAAAGCAGGAUCAGCUAGAGCAUUUUGCACAGGACCAUGUCCAGUCAAGCUCUGAAUAAUUCUACAGAUGGAGACUUCACAGCCUCUCUGGGCAUUCUGUGCCAGUGUUUGAUUGCCUUCACUGUAGGAAUGUUUUCUCGUGAUUGUGGUGGAGCCUCCUCCAGGCUGGACAGACCCAGCUCUCUAAGCCUUUCUUCAUGGGAGAAGUGAUCAAGUCUUAAAUAUCUUCCUGACCCUAUACUGGAUUUGUUCUGAACAACUUUCCAGAAAUUGGAUCCAUCACUGGGCACUCUACUGCAUUCACAGUUUGAGACGGAAGAAACGCAUUGCCCAAAAAUCUCCAGCUGAGAUCUUCGCUUUCAUCAUCUGUGAGAGCAUCAAAAACCUUGUCAUGAUCAGAACACAUCUGCUACUUCUCCCAUUGCCAGAUGGCUUGUUACCCUGCCAUAAAAAGAAAUCAGUGCAAUGAUUUCAACAGAGAAGCUGUAAUUAAAGGCAAUGCAACCUGGAGGUCUGACCCACAGCCCACACCCGGCUUGGCAUUUGAUCUUGGGCAAGCUACUUCACUCAAUUUGUAGCUUUUACGCUCUGUCUCCGGUCUGUAAAUGGACAUAAUUAUUUCAUCCUUUUCUGCAAAGCACUCAAGGAAUUGCAGUCACCAUUUUUCAGUGGUAAGCAAGAGCUACAGCAGAGUUAAUGCCUUAACUUUAUGCACACAGUAGCAUUAAUUCUUAGCCUGGGAACUGAAUCCACUGCCAGAUACACAUACUUUUUCUUUCAGAGCACAGAUUCCUGGAAGUUAAAGUUUAACUUUGGUAAGGAACACUUUGAAUAAAAACUGUCUACAGUGAUUUAAUCAGUAAUUGUCAGAGUAGGGAAAUAAUCGCAUAAAGUUUAGUGAGUUAUUCAAGAUUACAGUGAUUGGUCAAAACUAUUAAAAUUUAGCAUUGAUUUCCUGUUUCAUACAAUAAAUGCCAUUUUUGUUGUUUCCCUUACCCUAAAUAAUUUAAGUUACUAGGUUUGUCUUUGUGUGUGUGUUGCCUGAAUAAAAGGACUCUGUUUCAAC